rnacentral:rRNA from 1 species
UGAGGAAUAUUGGGCAAUGCCCGGAAGGGUGACCCAGCAACGCCGCGUGGAGGAAGAAGGUCUUUACGAUCGUAAACUCCUGUUAGAAGGGAUGAAAACUUAACGUUUAACUGACGUUAACUUGACCGUACCUUCAGAGUAAGCCCCGGCUAACUACGUGCCAGCAGCCGCGGUAAUACGUAGGGGGCAAGCGUUGUCCGGAUUUACUGGGUGUAAAGGGCGCGCAGGUGGGUUUGCAAGUCAGAGGUGAAAGCCUACAGCUUAACUGUAGAAUUGCCUUUGAUACUGCAGAUCUUGAGUUCAGAAGAGAGAGGCGGAAUUCCAGGUGUAGUGGUGAAAUACGUAGAUAUCUGGAAGAACACCAGUUGCGAAGGCGGCCUCUUGGUCUGUAACUGACACUCAGGCGCGAAAGCGUGGGUAGCGAACAGG